ensembl:lncRNA
GGAAGACUAGCCCUGAGCUAACAUCUGCCAAUCCUCCUCUUUUUGCUGAGGAAGACUGGCCCUGAGCUAACAUCUGAGCUCAUCUUCCUCUAUUUUAUAUGUGGGACACCUACCACAGCAUGGCUUGCCAAGUGGUGCUAUGUCCGCACCCGGGAUCCGAACUGGCAAACCCCAGGCCACCAAAGCGGAACGUGCGCACUUAACUUCUGCGCCACUGGGCCAGCCCCUCUCCAUAAAACACUUAUUAGUUAUGUAAGGGAAAAGAAUAACUUUACAGCGAAGAAGCCCAGGAAGGUAUCACUUCAUUCAAAUGGUUAGUGUGAAUAUCAACAAUAGGGCAAAUUGAAAUCAUGAGACACCAAGCAGUGUGAAGAGUUCAACAUCUCUUUGUGAUAUUCUGGAAAAAGAUUCUUUACUUGAUCAUGAUGGAAUCAUAAGGAAACAUCAGGCAAAUCCAAAUUGAGGAACAUUUUAUAAAAACCCAAACUGAGGAAUAUUCUAUGAAAUAAUUUUCAAAAGUGUGAAGGUCACUGUAGUGGACAGAACCUAAGGUGACCCCCUCCGCUGCCAUGAUCCCUGUCUUUUGGUGUUCACACCUUUAUGUAAUCUGCUCCCCUUCAGUUUGAGCAGGACUUGUGACUUGCUUUUAACCCACAGGAUAUGGCAAAAGCGAUGGGCUGUCACUCCAUGAUUACCUAGGACGUAUAUAAGACUCCAUCUUAUUAGCAGACAUACUGGAGACACUCCCCCUUUCUAUCCUUGAUGUAAACUGCCAUGAAGGAAGUGGCCAUGUUGGAGAAGCUCACAUGACAAUGAACUGUGGACAGCCUCUAGGAGCUAAAAUAAAGAAGGUGUUGGAAGCAGAUAUUUCCCCAGUACAGCUUCUGAGGAGACCAUCGCAGUGGCUGACACAUAGAAUUCAGCCUGGUGAGACUCUCAAGCAUAGAACCCAGUUAAGCCAGGCCUGGACUCCUGAUCCACAGGAAGCUUGAAAUUAUGUGUGCAUUGUUUUAAGCUGCUAAGUUUGUGGCAAUUGUUGUGCAGUGUAGAAAACUAAUAUAGUUACGAAAGUCAAUUAAAGACUGAGAAACUGUUCCAGAGUAAAGGAGACUAAAGUGAUAGACAACUAAAUGCAUUGCAUUUCCCAGAAACUGAGGAGCAAAUACUCCUCCCCACAAACCAAGAUGAGUUUGAAUGUGGCAAGGGGGAUUAGAACGGUGAGAUUAGAGCUCAGUGGGUGCGACUCCCCCAUUUUGUUACUUGAGUCACAUUCCAGAUGGCCAGUUGGCACCAGGAAUGCACCAGUUUCACACCCUGAGCUUGCAAAGCUCCCUGGUGACAUUUCCAGUUAGUGGCACCUGCUUACCCUUGUUUUCAUUGUGAGGAUAUAUUGCUGUGUCUCCUUACAGCACUAAGGAGGAACGGCCUCGGAUGCUCAAAUCCUCACUCUCUGACUCACUACAUAAUUUUGGACCUGCCACUAAGCCUCAGUUUCCACACCUGGAAAGAGAGGAGAAUAAUUACAACCUCAUUUAUUUGUCGUGAAGAUAAAAGGAAAAUCAUGAUGAGAUAAUGCUGUUGGUCAACAACUCGGCAGGUGGGGAAGCAGGUUCAGAGGCUUCCACAUAGCCUUUCCAGCUAUGAUGGAUCUUACUCCACAGAAGAAUGAACCAAAGGGAAGGUUCUUGCAACUCCCAAAUACAUUCAUUACAAAUAAACAUUCAG